rnacentral:ncRNA from 1 species
AGUUUUAUUCUUGCUUAAAUGUUUACUUUUUGUAUAUUUUACAUGUAAAUUUAUGUGGAUACAUUAAAUCUUUAAUAGAAUGUGUAUAAGCAGUAAUUAAUAUUAUAUAUCAAGGGGACUUGGAAUUAGUGAUAUGAUAUGUGACCGGCUAAAGUCGUGCCAGCUGCCGCGGUUAUACGUAGGGUUAAAGUGAACACUAUUAGUUUAGAAGUUAAUAGGUUUUUAAAAAGUUGGAUGUAGAUUUUGAAGGUAGAAUUUUAAAUUUAUAAGAAGACUUUAUUUGUAGAUAUGAAGCUUUGAAAUUUAAAUUAUAAACUAGGAUUAGAUACCCUAUUAUUUUAAAUGUAAAGGUUUUACUUGAGUAGUAAUAGUUAAGUUCUUGAAACUCAAAGAAUUUGGCGGUGUUUUAGUUUUUUCAGAGGAAUCUGUCCUAUAAUCGAUAGUACACGUUAUAUUCGACUUAAUUUUGUUUAUCAGUUUGUAUACCGCCGUCGUAAGAUUAUUCUUUUAGGAGGACAAUUUUCUAGACUUCAAAUUAGAAUUUAUGUCAGGUCAAGGUGCAGCUUAUGAUUAAGUAAGAGAUGGAUUACAAUAGAAAAAUUUAAAUGGAUCUUGCAUUGAAAUUUAGAAUGUGCAAUUGAAGGUGGAUUUGAAAGUAAUGUUGUUAUAUUAUGAUAAUGUGAUUUUAGCUCUAAAACAUGCACACAUCGCCCGUCGCUCUCAUUAUUAAGGUGAGAUAAGUCGUAACAAAGUAGAUGUACUGGAAAGUGUAUCUAGAAUG